UUCCGUAAAACUCGGUGACCGCUCGCCCCACCUUCCGCGCUAGAACUCCUUCCCGGAUUCGCCAACGGCCACGGAUUUCUUGGGGAACUACUUCCGGUCUCGGGCCGGCACGUGAGUCCCUCCCAAGAGCCGGAGGGAACCCAAGGGCUGAUUAAUUAUAAGUACUAUUCCUAACAAAAGAACCUGAGUUAAGACAAUAAGCCAUCACCUACAGGAGGGAGAGAACAUAAUGCUGACUUCCAGUACUGAUACUGACCCUAAUUAAACAAAAGGGGUAACUGUCAAAUUGUAGACAUUAAAGCUAAAACUCAUUACUCCUACUUUAAGACUGCUGAAACUGGCCUGCUUUGUAUUUAAAGCCAAAACUUGGAGACAAAAGUUAAGGAAGUAAAAGGGCUAAGAAAAAGAAAACAGCCAAUAUUCUGGUACUUGCCUUCUAAAGUCAGCCAGAACCCUGGAAAUGAUGGACUCAUAAGGGACCUACAAUUCUGGUGAGUCACCCAAUUUCUGAUCAGGGGGAUCAUGAGAGCCCUAGAGGACAGGAAGCCAACCAGUGCGUAUUCUGCAAAAAAGAAGGUUAUUGGAGAGGGAAAUGUCUCUGAUGCUUCCAGGGGAAGCCACAUGUGGUCAGCAUGACCCUGACCCAUCCUGAUAGAUGGCAUGGCUGGUAGAAGAAAAGCUAAAGGAGCGAAGAGCUUCUCCCAAGUUCCUAAGAGUGACCCUCUGGCAAAUCUCAGCUGACUUUAACAGUAAAUAAAAACAAGGUCAAUUUUUAACCAACUUGCUCUUGAACACCUGGCUGGAAAGAACAACCAAAGCACAGCCAUACAUGGACUUUGAGAAAGAAAAGACAAUGGUUCUUUUAGUAUAACUCAAGAUGUACACUGUGUCAGUCCUUUCAAGGGAUUCCUGAGACCAUUUAUGGUGACAACCUAAUAUCCAGAAACCUUUGCUUGUUAUUCUUGCUCACUGUCUGAGAUUAAAACAUCAGAAUCAACAAAUGGGAUUGUAUCAAACUAAAAAGCUUCUUCAUAGCAAAGGAAACAAUCAAGAGCACAAAGAGAGA